CCUACGGGUGGCAGCAGUGAGGAAUCUUGGUCAAUGGGCGCGAGCCUGAACCAGCCAAGUAGCGUGAAGGAUGACUGCCCUACGGGUUGUAAACUUCUUUUAUAAAGGAAUAAAGUGAGGCACGUGUGCCUUUUUGAAUGUACUUUAUGAAUAAGGAUCGGCUAACUCCGUGCCAGCAGCCGCGGUAAUACGGAGGAUGCGAGCGUUAUCCGGAUUUAUUGGGUUUAAAGGGUGCGUAGGCGGGCAUUGAAGGCGGCGGUCAAAUUGCGGGGCUCAACCCCGGCCUGCCGUUGGAACUGGGUGCCUUGAGUGGGCGAGAAGUAUGCGGAAUGCGUGGUGUAGCGGUGAAAUGCAUAGAUAUCACGCAGAACCCCGAUUGCGAAGGCAGCAUACCGGCGCCCUACUGACGCUGAGGCACGAAAGUGCGGGUAUCGAACAGGAUUAGAUACCCCAGUAGUC
rnacentral:rRNA from 1 species